CGCAGUGGGGCAGCAGCCCCAUUCCAGAGGUCAGCACUUAAUACUGAAAACACCCACCCAUACUCAGGCCUUCUGGUCCCUCGGUCUCCAGACCCUCCCCCCUCCCUGGACACCUUCCCAGUGUGGAUGCACACAACUUCCCUCUCUUCCUCCUCUUCUGAUUGGCUUCAAGGCUAGGAUUUCCCUGCCCUAGAAUGAUCCUGCUACAGCUACUGCCCCAUACCUAGACCGUCUCUGGCAUCAUAUAUGCACUCUUCAAAUAUUUACUGAAGUGCGUGCUAACUUCCAGAAGAAAUAAGACCAAAACGGGAAUCCAGAAGAAAAUGGAAAAGCCCGGAGGGCGGGGGAGGGGCUGCAGGCGCCCAGUCUCCUCUCUCCCCGCCUCCCCCCUGCCCCAGGACCCCUGCAGCCGGGCGGAUUCAGAGUUCAGGUUGCCUUUUGAUGACGGUAACAUCCGAACCGGCAGAAAAGCUCCAGUGGAAGCCAGAGCAGAAGUGACCACGCAGGGAGAGCGGCCCAGCCUGUUGUGCAGAGUACAGAAUGUUCUCUUCUGUGAACUGAGCUUGAACUUCUCCAACCCACUUUGUCUGAGGAAUCACGCAGACGCAGAGGGGAAAAGGCCGGGAAGAUAACCCCCAAAUUGUUGAAAUCAUUGUGUUCUCUCUGGUUUUGGCCCAGAUCGGUUGCUUUUCACGACGCAUAAUGAAAAAUCCCAAGCAUUAGAGUUCUUGGAAGAACUGAAUGCCUGUGAUGUCCUUUGUCUCAGCCAGGGCAUGGGGCUUCAACUUUGGAAAUGUACAAGUCUGUCACUCUUUCUCCUUGAUUUUUGGUUCUUUCCCCUUUAUUUUCUUUCUCCCUUUUUUCUUCCUCCUUCUCUCUCUUCUCUUCCUUCC
rnacentral:lncRNA from 1 species